ACUAAGCGUACACGGUGGAUGCCCUGGCAGUCAGAGGCGAUGAAGGACGUGCUAAUCUGCGAUAAGCGUCGGUAAGGUGAUAUGAACCGUUAUAACCGGCGAUUUCCGAAUGGGGAAACCCAGUGUGAUUCGUCACACUAUCAUUAACUGAAUCCAUAGGUUAAUGAGGCGAACCGGGGGAACUGAAACAUCUAAGUACCCCGAGGAAAAGAAAUCAACCGAGAUUCCCCCAGUAGCGGCGAGCGAACGGGGAGCAGCCCAGAGCCUGAAUCAGUGUGUGUGUUAGUGGAAGCGUCUGGAAAGGCGCGCGAUACAGGGUGACAGCCCCGUACACAAAAAUGCACAUGCUGUGAGCUCGAUGAGUAGGGCGGGACACGUGGUAUCCUGUCUGAAUAUGGGGGGACCAUCCUCCAAGGCUAAAUACUCCUGACUGACCGAUAGUGAACCAGUACCGUGAGGGAAAGGCGAAAAGAACCCCGGCGAGGGGAGUGAAAAAGAACCUGAAACCGUGUACGUACAAGCAGUGGGAGCACAGAGCAAUCUGUGUGACUGCGUACCUUUUGUAUAAUGGGUCAGCGACUUAUAUUCUGUAGCAAGGUUAACCGAAUAGGGGAGCCGAAGGGAAACCGAGUCUUAACUGGGCGUUAAGUUGCAGGGUAUAGACCCGAAACCCGGUGAUCUAGCCAUGGGCAGGUUGAAGGUUGGGUAACACUAACUGGAGGACCGAACCGACUAAUGUUGAAAAAUUAGCGGAUGACUUGUGGCUGGGGGUGAAAGGCCAAUCAAACCGGGAGAUAGCUGGUUCUCCCCGAAAGCUAUUUAGGUAGCGCCUCGUGAAUUCAUCUCCGGGGGUAGAGCACUGUUUCGGCAAGGGGGUCAUCCCGACUUACCAACCCGAUGCAAACUGCGAAUACCGGAGAAUGUUAUCACGGGAGACACACGGCGGGUGCUAACGUCCGUCGUGAAGAGGGAAACAACCCAGACCGCCAGCUAAGGUCCCAAAGUCAUGGUUAAGUGGGAAACGAUGUGGGAAGGCCCAGACAGCCAGGAUGUUGGCUUAGAAGCAGCCAUCAUUUAAAGAAAGCGUAAUAGCUCACUGGUCGAGUCGGCCUGCGCGGAAGAUGUAACGGGGCUAAACCAUGCACCGAAGCUGCGGCAGCGACACUAUGUGUUGUUGGGUAGGGGAGCGUUCUGUAAGCCUGUGAAGGUGUACUGUGAGGUAUGCUGGAGGUAUCAGAAGUGCGAAUGCUGACAUAAGUAACGAUAAAGCGGGUGAAAAGCCCGCUCGCCGGAAGACCAAGGGUUCCUGUCCAACGUUAAUCGGGGCAGGGUGAGUCGACCCCUAAGGCGAGGCCGAAAGGCGUAGUCGAUGGGAAACAGGUUAAUAUUCCUGUACUUGGUGUUACUGCGAAGGGGGGACGGAGAAGGCUAUGUUGGCCGGGCGACGGUUGUCCCGGUUUAAGCGUGUAGGCUGGUUUUCCAGGCAAAUCCGGAAAAUCAAGGCUGAGGCGUGAUGACGAGGCACUACGGUGCUGAAGCAACAAAUGCCCUGCUUCCAGGAAAAGCCUCUAAGCAUCAGGUAACAUCAAAUCGUACCCCAAACCGACACAGGUGGUCAGGUAGAGAAUACCAAGGCGCUUGAGAGAACUCGGGUGAAGGAACUAGGCAAAAUGGUGCCGUAACUUCGGGAGAAGGCACGCUGAUAUGUAGGUGAAGCGACUUGCUCGUGGAGCUGAAAUCAGUCGAAGAUACCAGCUGGCUGCAACUGUUUAUUAAAAACACAGCACUGUGCAAACACGAAAGUGGACGUAUACGGUGUGACGCCUGCCCGGUGCCGGAAGGUUAAUUGAUGGGGUCAGCGCAAGCGAAGCUCUUGAUCGAAGCCCCGGUAAACGGCGGCCGUAACUAUAACGGUCCUAAGGUAGCGAAAUUCCUUGUCGGGUAAGUUCCGACCUGCACGAAUGGCGUAAUGAUGGCCAGGCUGUCUCCACCCGAGACUCAGUGAAAUUGAACUCGCUGUGAAGAUGCAGUGUACCCGCGGCAAGACGGAAAGACCCCGUGAACCUUUACUAUAGCUUGACACUGAACAUUGAGCCUUGAUGUGUAGGAUAGGUGGGAGGCUUGGAAGUGUGGACGCCAGUCUGCAUGGAGCCGACCUUGAAAUACCACCCUUUAAUGUUUGAUGUUCUAACGUUGACCCGUGAUCCGGGUUGCGGACAGUGUCUGGUGGGUAGUUUGACUGGGGCGGUCUCCUCCUAAAGAGUAACGGAGGAGCACGAAGGUUGGCUAAUCCUGGUCGGACAUCAGGAGGUUAGUGCAAUGGCAUAAGCCAGCUUGACUGCGAGCGUGACGGCGCGAGCAGGUGCGAAAGCAGGUCAUAGUGAUCCGGUGGUUCUGAAUGGAAGGGCCAUCGCUCAACGGAUAAAAGGUACUCCGGGGAUAACAGGCUGAUACCGCCCAAGAGUUCAUAUCGACGGCGGUGUUUGGCACCUCGAUGUCGGCUCAUCACAUCCUGGGGCUGAAGUAGGUCCCAAGGGUAUGGCUGUUCGCCAUUUAAAGUGGUACGCGAGCUGGGUUUAGAACGUCGUGAGACAGUUCGGUCCCUAUCUGCCGUGGGCGCUGGAGAACUGAGGGGGGCUGCUCCUAGUACGAGAGGACCGGAGUGGACGCAUCACUGGUGUUCGGGUUGUCAUGCCAAUGGCACUGCCCGGUAGCUAAAUGCGGAAGAGAUAAGUGCUGAAAGCAUCUAAGCACGAAACUUGCCCCGAGAUGAGUUCUCCCUGACUCCUUGAGAGUCCUGAAGGAACGUUGAAGACGACGACGUUGAUAGGCCGGGUGUGUAAGCGCAGCGAUGCGUUGAGCUAACCGGUACUAAUGAACCGUGAGGCUUAACC
rnacentral:rRNA from 1 species